rnacentral:tRNA from 1 species
GGUGACUUAGUGGUAGAGUGCUUGCCUUGCAUGCAAAAGGCCCUGGGUUCAAUUCCUCAGCACCA